ACUACGGGUGGCAGCAGUGGGGGAUAUUGCACAAUGGGGGGAACCCUGAUGCAGCGACGCCGCGUGGGUGAAGAAGCGCCUCGGCGCGUACAGCCCUGUCAGCAGGGAAGAAAAUGACGGUACCUGAAGAAGAAGCCCCGGCUAACUACGUGCCAGCAGCCGCGGUAAUACGUAGGGGGCAAGCGUUAUCCGGAUUUACUGGGUGUAAAGGGGGCGCAGACGGCGAUGCAAGCCAGGAGUGAAAGCCCGGGGCCACACCCCGGGACUGCUCUUGGAACUGCGUGGCUGGAGUGCAGGAGGGGCAGGCGGAAUUCCUGGUGUAGCGGUGAAAUGCGUAGAUAUCAGGAGGAACACCGGUGGCGAAGGCGGCCUGCUGGACUGCAACUGACGUUGAGGCCCGAAAGCGUGGGGAGCAAACAGGAUUAGAUACCCUAGUAGUC
rnacentral:rRNA from 1 species